UACGGGGGGGGCAAGCGUUGUUCGGAAUUACUGGGCGUAAAGGGCUCGUAGGCGGCCAACUAAGUCAUACGUGAAAUCCCUCGGCUUAACCGGGGAACUGCGUCUGAUACUGGAUGGCUUGAGUUCGGGAGAGGGAUGCGGAAUUCCAGGUGUAGCGGUGAAAUGCGUAGAUAUCUGGAGGAACACCGGUGGCGAAGGCGGCACCCUGGACCGAUACUGACGCUGAGGAGCGAAAGCCAGGGGAGCAAACGGG
rnacentral:rRNA from 1 species